rnacentral:rRNA from 1 species
AGAGUUUGAUCCUGGCUCAAUUGAACGCUGGCGGCAGGCCUAACACAUGCAAGUCGAGCGGUAACAGAUCUAGCUUGCUAGAUGCUGACGAGCGGCGGACGGGUGAGUAAUGCAUAGGAAUCUACCCGGUAGUGGGGGAUAACCUGGGGAAACCCAGGCUAAUACCGCAUACGUCCUACGGGAGAAAGGGGGCUCCGGCUCCCGCUAUCGGAUGAGCCUAUGUCGGAUUAGCUAGUUGGUGAGGUAAUGGCUCACCAAGGCAACGAUCCGUAGCUGGUCUGAGAGGAUGAUCAGCCACAUCGGGACUGAGACACGGCCCGAACUCCUACGGGAGGCAGCAGUGGGGAAUAUUGGACAAUGGGCGAAAGCCUGAUCCAGCCAUGCCGCGUGUGUGAAGAAGGCCUUCGGGUUGUAAAGCACUUUCAGCGAGGAAGAACGCCUAGUGGUUAAUACCCAUUAGGAAAGACGUCACUCGCAGAACAAGC